AUACUUCAUGGGUAGUACAGGUACUUCAUGGAUAGAACAGGUACUUCAUGGGUAGAACAGGUACUGUGUAAUAGACUAUUCACAGUCCCUUUGUACGGUCCUUUAUAAUGUUGCUUUCACUCAUUUUGCUUUACCAUAUGCUGUAAUCACCCAAUUCACUGUUGCUAUUAUUACUUUGAACAAAGAGUUAUCAAUUAGAUCAAUUGAGAAUAAGAAAUGUAAAGGUUAUAUUUUACAUUAGCUUAUUCGUUUCCCAAUGCUCUUCCUUUCUUUAUGUGCAUCUAAGUUCCUGACCUGUAUAGUUUUUCUUCUUCCUGAGUAACUUCUUUUAACAUUUUUCUAAGACAAGUCUGCUGGCAAUAAGUUCUCUCAGUUUUUGUUUGUCAGAGAAAGUCUUUAUUUCUCCUUCAGUUUUACAGGAUGAUUUCACAAGAUACAGAAUUCUAAGUUGGUAUUUUUUCCUUUCAACGCUUUAAAUCUUUCACUCCACUCUCUUCUUGCUGUCUUGGAUUCUGAUGAGAAGGCCAAUGGAAUUCUUAUCCUUGUUUUUCUCCUCUGGCUUCUUUCAUGAUUUUCUCUUUGUCUUUGUUUUUCUGAAGUUUGACUAUGAUAUGUUUAAGUGUAGUUUUUAUGGUGUUUAUCCUGCUUCUUGUUCUCUGAAUUUCCUGCAUCUGUGGUUUGGCAUCUGUCAUUAAUUUUGGAAAAUUCUUGGCCAUAAUUGCUGCAAGUAUUUCUUCUGCUCUCUUCUCCCUUUCUUCUUCUGGUGUUCCAAGUAUGUGGAUAUUACACCUUUUGAAAUUGUCCCACAAUUCUUGGAUAUUCUAUUCUGGGAGUUUUUUGUUUUGUUUUUUCAUUAUUUUUUCUCUUUGCCUUUCAGUUUGGGAAGUUUCCGUAAGAUAUCUUCAAGCUCACUGAUUUUUCCCUUGAUUGUAUCCAGUCUGUUAAUGAGCCCAGUAGAGACGUUCUUCAUUUUUGUUACAGUGUGGGUUUUUUUAUUUCUAGCAUUCCUUUUUUAUUAUUUUGUGGUGUUUUCAUCUCUCUGCUUGCAUCACCUGUCCUUCCAUGUUAUCUGCUUUUUCCAUUAGAACCUUUAACAGUAGCCAUGGUUAUUUUAAAUUCUAAAAUCCGUGCCAUAUCUGAAUCUAGUUCUAAUGCUCGCUUUGCCUCUUCAGACUGUAUUUUUUCUCGCCUUUCAGCUUCGCAUACCUUGUGAAUUUUUUUUGAAAGCCAGACAUCGUGUGUCAGACAAGUCCCUCUUUGAAGAUAAUGGUCCACUGGUGACAUCUGAGGGAAUGAGCCAGAUAAUUCCAGUCAGAAGUCCUUGACCAACACAAUAGAAAACCGUAUCCCCUAUGUCAGUACGAUGCAGAAUAUUGCACUCACAGAACAGCACGCCUGUAUUACUCUGCGCUGGUGGCCAUCACAUGUACCGUGACUCUACAGCAAGAUGUAUCUAAGUAUUUCAUUAAACCUCCUUCCAUAGUAG
rnacentral:lncRNA from 1 species